AGGUAAGCUACUAAGAGCGAAUGGUGGAUGCCUUGACUGGUAAAGGCGAUGAAGGACGUACUAGACUGCGAUAAGCUACGGGGAGCUGUCAAGAAGCUUUGAUCCGUAGAUUUCCGAAUGGGGCAACCCAAUGUAUAGAGAUAUACAUUACCUAUAUAGGAGCGAACGAGGGGAAUUGAAACAUCUUAGUACCCUCAGGAAAAGAAAUCAAUAGAGAUUGCGUCAGUAGCGGCGAGCGAAAGCGCAAGAGGGCAAACCCAGUGCUUGCACUGGGGGUUGUAGGACUGCAAUGUGCAAGAGCUGAGUUUAGCAGAACAUUCUGGAAAGUAUAGCCAUAGAGGGUGAUAGUCCCGUAUGCGAAAAACAAAGCUUAGCUAGCAGUAUCCUGAGUAGGGCGGGACACGAGGAAUCCUGUCUGAAUCCGGGUCGACCACGAUCCAACCCUAAAUACUAAUACCAGAUCGAUAGUGCACAAGUACCGUGAGGGAAAGGUGAAAAGAACUGAGGUGAUCAGAGUGAAAUAGAACCUGAAACCAUUUGCUUACAAUCAUUCAGAGCACUAUGUAGCAAUACAGUGUGAUGGACUGCCUUUUGCAUAAUGAGCCUGCGAGUUGUGGUGUCUGGCAAGGUUAAGCAAACGCGAAGCCGUAGCGAAAGCGAGUCUGAAUAGGGCGCUUAGUCAGAUGCUGCAGACCCGAAACGAAGUGAUCUAUCCAUGAGCAAGUUGAAGCUAGUGUAAGAACUAGUGGAGGACUGAACCCAUAGGCGUUGAAAAGCCCCGGGAUGACUUGUGGAUAGGGGUGAAAGGCCAAUCAAACUUCGUGAUAGCUGGUUCUCUCCGAAAUAUAUUUAGGUAUAGCGUUGUGUCGUAAUAUAAGGGGGUAGAGCACUGAAUGGGCUAGGGCAUACACCAAUGUACCAAACCCUAUCAAACUCCGAAUACCUUAUAUGUAAUCACAGCAGUCAGGCGGCGAGUGAUAAAAUCCGUCGUCAAGAGGGAAACAACCCAGACUACCAGCUAAGGUCCCUAAAUCUUACUUAAGUGGAAAACGAUGUGAAGUUACUUAAACAACCAGGAGGUUGGCUUAGAAGCAGCCAUCCUUUAAAGAAAGCGUAAUAGCUCACUGGUCUAGUGAUUUUGCGCGGAAAAUAUAACGGGGCUAAAGUAAGUACCGAAGCUGUAGACUUGCACACAACUUAGAUUAUUUAAGUUUAGAAUAUGAGAAACUAAGUUAUAUGUUUAGUUAUAUUUUUACUGAUUUUUAUAGAGUAAAGAUAGAAAUAAAACUUAGUAAAAUCAGUAAAAAUAUUCUUAGGCUAAAGUUAAGUAGUUUAAGUUGUGUGCAAGUGGUAGGAGAGCGUUCUAUUUGCGUCGAAGGUAUACCGGUAAGGAGUGCUGGAGCGAAUAGAAGUGAGCAUGCAGGCAUGAGUAGCGAUAAUUAAUGUGAGAAUCAUUAACGCCGUAAACCCAAGGUUUCCUACGCGAUGCUCGUCAUCGUAGGGUUAGUCGGGUCCUAAGUCGAGUCCGAAAGGGGUAGACGAUGGCAAAUUGGUUAAUAUUCCAAUACCAACAUUAGUGUGCGAUGGAAGGACGCUUAGGGCUAAGGGGGCUAGCGGAUGGAAGUGCUAGUCUAAGGUUGUAGGAGGUUAUACAGGCAAAUCCGUAUAACAAUACUCCGAGAACUGAAAGGCUUUUUGAAGUCUUCGGAUGGAAAGAAGAACCCCUGAUGCCGUCGAGCCAAGAAAAGUUUCUAAGUUUAGCUAAUGUUGCCCGUACCGUAAACCGACACAGGUGGGUGGGAUGAGUAUUCUAAGGCGCGUGGAAGAACUCUCUUUAAGGAACUCUGCAAAAUAGCACCGUAUCUUCGGUAUAAGGUGUGCCUCCCUUUGUAUUAGGAUUUACUCCGAAAGCAAAGAAGGUUACAACAAAGAGUCCCUCCCGACUGUUUACCAAAAACACAGCACUCUGCUAACUCGUAAGAGGAUGUAUAGGGUGUGACGCCUGCCCGGUGCUCGAAGGUUAAUUGAUGGGGUUAGCAUUAGCGAAGCUCUUGAUCGAAGCCCGAGUAAACGGCGGCCGUAACUAUAACGGUCCUAAGGUAGCGAAAUUCCUUGUCGGUUAAAUACCGACCUGCAUGAAUGGCGUAACGAGAUGGGAGCUGUCUCAAAGAGGGAUCCAGUGAAAUUGUAGUGGAGGUGAAAAUUCCUCCUACCCGCGGCAAGACGGAGAGACCCCGUGGACCUUUACUACAGCUUGACACUGCUAUUUGGAUAAGAAUGUGCAGGAUAGGUGGGAGGCUUUGAGUAUAUGACGCCAGUUGUAUAUGAGCCAUUGUUGAGAUACCACUCUUUCUUAUUUGGGUAGCUAACCAGCUUGAGUUAUCCUCAAGUGGGACAAUGUCUGGUGGGUAGUUUGACUGGGGCGGUCGCCUCCCAAAUAAUAACGGAGGCUUACAAAGGUUGGCUCAUAGCGGUUGGAAAUCGCUAGUAGAGUAUAAAGGUAUAAGCCAGCUUAACUGCAAGACAUACAAGUCAAGCAGAGACGAAAGUCGGUCUUAGUGAUCCGGUGGUUCUGUGUGGAAGGGCCAUCGCUCAAAGGAUAAAAGGUACCCCGGGGAUAACAGGCUGAUCUCCCCCAAGAGCUCACAUCGACGGGGAGGUUUGGCACCUCGAUGUCGGCUCAUCGCAUCCUGGGGCUGGAGCAGGUCCCAAGGGUAUGGCUGUUCGCCAUUUAAAGCGGUACGCGAGCUGGGUUCAGAACGUCGUGAGACAGUUCGGUCCCUAUCUGCCGUGGGCGUAAGAAGAUUGAAGAGAUUUGACCCUAGUACGAGAGGACCGGGUUGAACAAACCACUGGUGUAGCUGUUGUUCUGCCAAGAGCAUCGCAGCGUAGCUAAGUUUGGAAAGGAUAAACGCUGAAAGCAUCUAAGCGUGAAGCCAACUCUAAGAUGAAUCUUCUCUAAGCUCUCUAGAAGACUACUAGUUUGAUAGGCUGGGUGUGUAAUGGAUGAAAGUCCUUUAGCUGACCAGUACUA
rnacentral:rRNA from 1 species